rnacentral:rRNA from 1 species
UCGGAGGGUAGUUCGGUGGAACGAGCGGCGGACGGGUGAGUAACACGUAGGCAACCUGCCUGUAAGACUGGGAUAACUCGCGGAAACGCGAGCUAAUACCGGAUAACACUUUCUAUCACCUGAUGGAAAGUUGAAAGGCGGCUUUUGCUGUCACUUACAGAUGGGCCUGCGGCGCAUUAGCUAGUUGGUGAGGUAACGGCUCACCAAGGCGACGAUGCGUAGCCGACCUGAGAGGGUGAUCGGCCACACUGGGACUGAGACACGGCCCAGACUCCUACGGGAGGCAGCAGUAGGGAAUCUUCCGCAAUGGACGAAAGUCUGACGGAGCAACGCCGCGUGAGUGAUGAAGGUUUUCGGAUCGUAAAACUCUGUUGUCGGGGAAGAACAAGUAUGAUAGUAACUGAUCGUACCUUGACGGUACCUGACCAGAAAGCCACGGCUAACUACGUGCCAGCAGCCGCGGUAAUACGUAGGUGGCAAGCGUUGUCCGGAAUUAUUGGGCGUAAAGCGCUCGCAGGCGGUUCUUUAAGUCUGAUGUGAAAUCUUGCGGCUCAACCGCAAACGUGCAUUGGAAACUGGAGGACUUGAGUGCAGAAGAGGAGAGUGGAAUUCCACGUGUAGCGGUGAAAUGCGUAGAGAUGUGGAGGAACACCAGUGGCGAAGGCGACUCUCUGGUCUGUAACUGACGCUGAGGGAGCGAAAGCGUGGGGAGCGAACAGGAUUAGAUACCCUGGUAGUCCACGCCGUAAACGAUGAGUGCUAGGUGUUAGGGGGUCUCCGCCCCUUAGUGCUGAAGUUAACGCAUUAAGCACUCCGCCCUGGGGAGUACGGCCGCAAGGGCUGAAACUCAAAAAGAAUUGACGGGCACCCGCACAAGGCGGUGGGAGCAUGUGGCUUUAAUUCGAAGGCAACGG